UUGCUUUAGUAGUCACUAAUGGGCUGCAUUAUAGUGUAUUUUAUAGAACUUAGAAAGCAUUGUAGUGUAUUUUAUAAUGAUUGAAAGACAAUGUUGACGGUUUGCUAACUACUCACAUCACACACUUAGCGAUCUCUGCAAAAGCUUGGGCACAUUUUGGGGUCUGCUGGAUGCUAAGUAUCAGGUCUUACAUUUCCUUUCCUAUUUAUAUUCUGUUUUAAUGAAAACCACAAAUCUUCCUGGGUGACUUGUUUAUUAAGUGAAUUUAGAACAGUUAGCGUCUGCAUUUAUUAAUUUUGUAGAAAAACUGGUAUUACUGGUUGCUUAGGAGUAUAAUUGCUAUCUCAGAUUUCAUUGGAUACCAGCUACAAAUCUUGGUAAUAAGACUUUGUUGAUGAUUAAGUCAGUGAUGUGAUUUUCAGUGGCAUGGAGCACCUGCAACUCCUUUGCCUUCACAAUGACCUGAAGAGGACUCAGCACCUCGGACAACACCUCUUUAAUUAAUGUGCGAAGCCAAAGUAAACUGCAGAAAAUCUUUAAGACCAGAUUUUCACAGCUGCAGACAUAGAAAGAUUCUGCCUUUGGGAUGAUCACACACUACAUUUUCAAGUUUAUUCUGUCCAGUUGCCCUAUUGUCCUCCAUGAGCCCCAUCUGAAAACAGCUGAACUCGACUAUAGGGCUUAUGAUGAAAAGCAAGGAGAAAACACCUUGUCACUGUAAGAAGAAGAUGUCUUGAAUGAAUGCAAAAGCCAAUUAGUGUUUGAAUUCAUUUGGUCUUUUCCUGUCUUGAUUGCAACAGAAACAAAUAUGAUCUUUAGGUGGAGUUAACAGCUGUUGUCUGUGUCAAAGAAACAGAGACCAAGAAUGAGCAUGAGUGGGGGGAGGACCAGUUCAGCAUCACAGAGAGGAAAGAAGUGAAAAAGACCCAACAGCAGAGAAUAAGAGGUUGUGAGCUGUGCUGUGCUUACAAUGAAAUUGUUGGGAGUUUCUGCACGAGAGCAAAACUGAGUUGUUCUUUCGGGUAUGAAAAACUACUGCAAAUUACAAAUAAAGAACUCACAUUAA